CUCUUAUCCCGAGCUGGCGGAGGGACAGGCCCGAUGAAGCCCGGCAACCUCACUUGGAUGAACGAUAAAUCACAAGUGAAUAGGUGCUUAAACCUGUGCGAGGUGAAAUAUCUCGAACGAUAAGAG
rnacentral:ncRNA from 2 species